GUCCCGUUCGUCUAGUGGCCUAGGACACCGCCCUUUCACGGCGGCGACACGGGUUCGACUCCCGUACGGGACG
rfam:Cyanobacteria bacterium 13_1_40CM_2_61_4 13_1_40cm_2_scaffold_195207, whole genome shotgun sequence.